rnacentral:rRNA from 1 species
UACGGGGGGGGGCAAGCGUUGUUCGGAAUUACUGGGCGUAAAGGGCUCGUAGGUGGCCAACUAAGUCAGACGUGAAAUCCCUCGGCUUAACCGGGGAACUGCAUCUGAUACUGGAUGGCUUGAGUUUGGGAGAGGGAUGCGGAAUUCCAGGUGUAGCGGUGAAAUGCGUAGAUAUCUGGAGGAACACCGGUGGCGAAGGCGGGUCUCUGGGCCGAUACUGACGCUGAGGAGCGAAAGCGUGGGGAGCGAACAGG